rnacentral:rRNA from 1 species
AGAGUUUGAUCCUGGCUCAGGAUGAACGCCGGCGGUGUGCCUAAUACAUGCAAGUCGUACGCACUGGCCCAACUGAUUGAUGGUGCUUGCACCUGAUUGACGAUGGAUCACCAGUGAGUGGCGGACGGGUGAGUAACACGUAGGUAACCUGCCCCGGAGCGGGGGAUAACACUUGGAAACAGAUGCUAAUACCGCAUAACAACAGAAGCCACAUGGCUUUUGUUUGAAAGAUGGCCUUGGCUAUCACUCUGGGAUGGACCUGCGGUGCAUUAGCUAGUUGGUAAGGUAACGGCUUACCAAGGCGAUGAUGCAUAGCCGAGUUGAGAGACUGAUCGGCCACAAUGGAACUGAGACACGGUCCAUACUCCUACGGGAGGCAGCAGUAGGGAAUCUUCCACAAUGGGCGCAAGCCUGAUGGAGCAACACCGCGUGAGUGAAGAAGGGUUUCGGCUCGUAAAGCUCUGUUGUUGGAGAAGAACGUGCGUGAGAGUAACUGUUCACGCAGUGACGGUAUCCAACCAGAAAGUCACGGCUAACUACGUGCCAGCAGCCGCGGUAAUACGUAGGUGGCAAGCGUUAUCCGGAUUUAUUGGGCGUAAAGCGAGCGCAGGAGGUUGCUUAGGUCUGAUGUGAAAGCCUUCGGCUUAACCGAAGAAGUGCAUCGGAAACCGGGCGACUUGAGUGCAGAAGAGGACAGUGGAACUCCAUGUGUAGCGGUGGAAUGCGUAGAUAUAUGGAAGAACACCAGUGGCGAAGGCGGCUGUCUGGUCUGCAACUGACGCUGAGGCUCGAAAGCAUGGGUAGCGAACAGGAUUAGAUACCCUGGUAGUCCAUACCGUAAACGAUGAGUGCUAGGUGUUGGAGGGUUUCCGCCCUUCAGUGCCGGAGCUAACGCAUUAAGCACUCCGCCUGGGGAGUACGACCGCAAGGUUGAAACUCAAAGGAAUUGACGGGGGCCCGCACAAGCGGUGGAGCAUGUGGUUUAAUUCGAAGCUACGCGAAGAACCUUACCAGGUCUUGACAUCUUGCGCUAACCUUAGAGAUAAGGCGUUCCCUUCGGGGACGCAAUGACAGGUGGUGCAUGGUCGUCGUCAGCUCGUGUCGUGAGAUGUUGGGUUAAGUCCCGCAACGAGCGCAACCCUUGUUACUAGUUGCCAGCAUUAAGUUGGGCACUCUAGUGAGACUGCCGGUGACAAACCGGAGGAAGGUGGGGACGACGUCAGAUCAUCAUGCCCCUUAUGACCUGGGCUACACACGUGCUACAAUGGACGGUACAACGAGUCGCAAGCUCGCGAGAGUAAGCUAAUCUCUUAAAGCCGUUCUCAGUUCGGACUGUAGGCUGCAACUCGCCUACACGAAGUCGGAAUCGCUAGUAAUCGCGGAUCAGCAUGCCGCGGUGAAUACGUUCCCGGGCCUUGCACACACCGCCCGUCA